ACAGCUCUUUACUUUUCAGAGAGGUCCUGCUUUCUCUUGGCUGACCAGUCUUGCUCUGCACUCUCAUCACCUUGCUUAGCAUCAGAAGUUCUUAUUGGGGCUUUUCAUUGAACUACGUCCAUGAACUGACCUGAUAGUUUCAAGGACACACCUCCCCAAGCCUGCAUAGCAGUAACAACCAAAGAGAUAUUUCAUGAAACUAAAUGAGUUAAGACAGAGCCCAGGAGCAAGUUUUUACUUAACAGCAUGCAACAUUCCAAAACUUUGCAGCAGUUUACCUGCAUGUAAACCUGCAGUUUGCACAUACGUGGGAAACAGAAAGUUUCCUUUCUAGGGUGAAAUCACAGGAAUGUUCCAAUAAUUACCAGUCUUCCAUUCGCUUUCAGUUUUAAUAGUUUUUCAAUCAUCACUCAUAACUGGGACACUCACCUGUGAGGAAUUUUUUGAGUCAGAGAUUUUACUACACUAUCCCUGUCCAAAAGCAUGAGUUUGCACAGUUCCAGCAAAAUCAACACGAGAUACCUCAAGAGAGACUAUAUGAGGCUGCAAAAGCUAGAGCUAGGAAAACAUUUUUAAAGUUUUUGACCUAAAACAAAACAUUGUUUUCAUAAAACUUUUGUAAGUAUCCUUGAGCAAACAGAAGAAAAGGAAGAUUAAAGGAAGCCUAAAAAAGCAGAAAUUCUACUAGGUAAAGUCGUACCGUUACACCUCUGACGAACUUUUACUUAACACGGGGUCAGGAGCUGCUUGCGCAUGAUGUGCGAGCUGGGAAGAAGCGCACGCCCCGACCCUUCCCACAGGACAGCGAGUGCGACCCUCUGCCGGUCGGUCCUGAAGACACGCGAGGCAGUGGCGGCCACUCUCCCUCGUUCCCCCUUUCUUGGUGCAGACGGCUGAAGGCAGAAGCAGCGAGUAAACACCCCAGGUGCAGCUGCUUGAGGGCUCGCCGCUUUC